rnacentral:rRNA from 1 species
CAGUAGCCACGGGAAUACGGAGGGGGCUAGCGUUGUUCGGAAUUACUGGGCGUAAAGCGUGCGCAGGCGGUUUUGUAAGACAGGCGUGAAAUCCCCGGGCUCAACCUGGGAAUGGCGCUUGUGACUGCAAAGCUAGAGUGCGGCAGAGGGGGAUGGAAUUCCGCGUGUAGCAGUGAAAUGCGUAGAUAUGCGGAGGAACACCGAUGGCGAAGGCAAUCCCCUGGGCCUGCACCGACGCUCAUGCACGAAAGCGUGGGGAGCAAACAGGAUUAGAUACCCCAGUAGUCCCUGUCUCUUAUAC